rnacentral:rRNA from 1 species
CCUACGGGCGGCAGCAGUGGGGAAUAUUGGACAAUGGGGGGAACCCUGAUCCAGCCAUGCCGCGUGUGUGAAGAAGGCCCUCGGGUUGUAAAGCACUUUCAGUGAGGAAGAACGCCUGGUGGUUAAUACCCAUCAGGAAAGACAUCACUCACAGAAGAAGCACCGGCUAACUCCGUGCCAGCAGCCGCGGUAAUACGGAGGGUGCGAGCGUUAAUCGGAAUUACUGGGCGUAAAGCGCGCGUAGGUGGCUUGAUAAGCCGGUUGUGAAAGCCCCGGGCUCAACCUGGGGACGGCAUCCGGAAUGGUCAAUCUAGAGUGCAAGAUAGGAAGGUAAAAUUCAGGGUGUAGCGGUGAAAUGCGUAGAGAUAGGGAAGAUUAGCAGUGGCGAAGGAGGCCUACUGGACUGACAAUGACACUGAGGUGCGAAAUCGUGGGUAGCAAACAGGAUUAGCUACACUAGGAGUC